AAAGUUUUAUUCUUAUUUCUCAUGACCGAAUAACGUAAAGAAAGAAAAGAAAAGAAAGCUAGGGCAUUCGGCCAUUGUUGGGUUUGAUUAAGGUAUGUAACUAGCUUGGUUUUUGAUGAUUUUUACGUUUUUGAGAUCGUUGUUAAGUUAUCUACAAGACCCAUGCUUGAAUUUUUUAUUUUGGUAAAUGUUUUGAGUUAUGUCAUUGUUGAAAUCUUGUGAUUUUUGUUGUUUGACGGUAGAAACUAAAAGAUAUGUGAUAGAUUAACAUGUUUUGUAUUGAAAUUUUUUAUGAUUUUGAGUAAUUAUGACUAAAUUGCAAAAAUAAUAAAUUGAGGGACUAAAAUAUGAAAUAAAUGAAAUGUAUAUACUUGUAUGAACACUAGGAAUAUUCGGCCUAAGCAUGGUGUGUGCAAAUUUUGCAUGUUUUGUGUUUUGUGCAAUUUGGACUAAAUUGUAAAAAGUGUAAAAUGUUAGGGGUAAAAUGGUAAUUUGUCCAUUUAUGUGUUUUUGGACUAAUUGAGUGAAAAUAUGUUUGAAUAAGUUUAAUUUGAGUAUGUUUAGAUCAAGAACCAAAGAAAUUGGAUUUUGAUCGGGGGAUAAUUAAAGUUGUCGACUAGUUGUCCCGUUCCGUUUUAUAUCGUUCGUGAUAAGUUUAUAAGUAAAUAGACGUUUUUAAUUUUAAUUAAAUGAAAACUAUAUAUGCUGAAAUGAAAUAUGUGAAUAUAUAUACACAAUAGCCGAAUGUGCACAAGUUUGGCACCUAUGUUUAUGAAUCUGAUUUGACCGAGUUACUAUGUCCGAAAGUCCCGAAUGAACUUAGGAAUAUCUAGGAUACAUAUUUCAUGACAUAGGAUUCCGAUAUGUAAUGUGCGAGUAAGACCAUGGCAUCGAUAUAUGUGUGCGAGUAAGACCACAUUUUAUACGUUGGCAUCGAUAUGUGACUUCGAUAUAUGUGUGCGAGUAAGACCCUGUUUGGGACAGUAGCAUCGAUAUGUGAUCACAUGUAAGACCACGUCUGGGAUGUUGGCAUUGUGUGAUAUAUGUGAUUAUCCAAGUGUCCUAUCCAAUUUCGAAUUGUUCAUUGGGCAACGAUAAGUUGUGAUCGAAUGUGUAAAAUGAGCUAGAGUGAUCAGGUAUGAAUUAGUUUACUACCUACUUGAAAUAAGGUAAGUUACUUGAUAUUUGUUGUAAAUCAUGUAUGAAGUAAAGGAAGAAUGUAUGUGAAUAUGGUAAGUGUAUUUGGCUUUGUGAAUAAAUAAUAUGAAUAUUAUUGAAAUGAUUCUUGAAUAUGUGUAUAAAAUAUUAUGUAGAUUCGGCCAUAUGAUAAGUGUAUGAAUAUGAUGUUAUAUUUUGAUUCAUGAGCUUGUGUAUACGGAUGUAUGUAUACUUGGUUAUAUAAUGAUAUUAUGGCUUUAAAAGUUGAUUGAUAUUUUGUUAAUAUAACUAUAUGAGCAUUCGGCCAAGGUAACAUUUAUGCAUAAAAGUAUAUAUUAUUCAUGAAAUUGUAAGUUUGAGAUUAAAUGUGAUAAUGAUAUUAUAAUUUGGUUUAGUUUAACUGAAUUGUUUAUUUGCUUAUUACUUACUAAGCUAUGAUAGCUUACUGUAUAUGUUUAUGUGUGCCUCUAUUUUAUAGAUUUUGGAGUCAAGUUACGAGCUCAGGGAUCGUCAGCAAAGUCUAUCACACUAUCGACUGUCUUCGGUAUCUUUAUAAGUGAACUUUUGAAUCUAUGGCAUGUAUAGGCUGGAUUAUGUUUUGAAAUGUUGGAUUUUGGUUAUGUGUAAUCUAAGCCAUGUGAAAAUGGCUUAACUUUUUUGUUUGAAUUUGGUUAUGUUGAUUAUGGUUUAUGUUCAUUUUGAUUAUAAUGUUAUAUGCUAUGAAUGCAUAGUAAUUGUGGUAGGUAUUAUAUGCUUUGAUAAUGGUUGAUGAUUUUGGAUGUACAUGUGGUUGGUUCAGCUAAGGUUAUGCAUGGAUGGAAGUAUAUGUGAAUUUGGUUAUCAUAUUGACUUAUUUAGGAUGUGUAAUUUUUCUUGUGAAUUGGUUUGGAGACAGCAAAAGAUGUGCCUUUAUAAUCGGCUAGUGAUGGGUAAAAUAUAUCCAUAUGCUUAUGACAUGUUGUUUGUG
rnacentral:lncRNA from 1 species